rnacentral:rRNA from 1 species
GACGAACGCUGGCGGCGUGCUUAACACAUGCAAGUCGAACGGUAAGGCCCUUCGGGGUACACGAGUGGCGAACGGGUGAGUAACACGUGGGUGAUCUGCCCUGCACUUCGGGAUAAGCCUGGGAAACUGGGUCUAAUACCGGAUAGGACUCCGGACUGCAUGGUCUGGGGUGGAAAGCUUUUGCGGUGUGGGAUGGGCCCGCGGCCUAUCAGCUUGUUGGUGGGGUGAUGGCCUACCAAGGCGACGACGGGUAGCCGGCCUGAGAAGGUGACCGGCCACACUGGGACUGAGAUACGGCCCAGACUCCUACGGGAGGCAGCGGUGGGGAAUAUUGCACAAUGGGCGCAAGCCUGAUGCAGCGACGCCGCGUGAGGGAUGACGGCCUUCGGGUUGUAAACCUCUUUCAGCAUCGACGAAGCGAAGGUGACGGUAGGUGCAGAAGAAGGACCGGCCAACUACGUGCCAGCCGCCGCAGUAA